CUCAUUCCCACAUUUCUGCCCAGCCCAAGCUCACCUCUCCUAACACAGGGGAGGUGGCCACCAUCGCCAACGGGAAGGUCAACCCGUCCCAGUCCACAGAGGAGGCCACAGAGGCCACGGAGGUGCCAGACCCUGGGCCCAGCGAGCCAGAGACGGCCACAUUGCGGCCCGGGCCUCUCACGGAGCACGUCUUCACUGACCCAGCCCCCACCCCAUCCUCUGGCCCCCAGCCUGGCAGUGAGAAUGGGCCAGAGCCUGACAGCAGCAGCACGCAGCCAGAGCCAGAGCCCAGCGAGGACCCCACGGGAGCAGGCAGCAGUGCUGCACCCACCAUGUGGCUGGGAGCCCAGAACGGCUGGUAGGAAGGGCCCAGGGCAAGGUGGAGGGAGGGUCCUGGGUGAGCCCCUCGCCCAUCGCCACUUCCUUCUCUAGGCUCUAUGUGCACUCUGCUGUGGCCAACUGGAAGAAGUGCCUGCACUCCAUCAAGCUGAAGGAUUCCGUGCUGAGCCUGGUGCAUGUCAAAGGCCGUGUGCUAGUGGCUCUGGCGGACGGGACCCUGGCCAUCUUCCACCGUGGUGAAG
rnacentral:sRNA from 1 species